UACGUAGGGGGCAAGCGUUGUCCGGAAUCAUUGGGCGUAAAGCGCGUGUAGGCGGCCCGGUAAGUCCGCUGUGAAAGUCGGGGGGCUCAACCCUCGAAUGCCGGUGGAUACUGUCGGGCUAGAGUGCGGGAGAGGCGGAGUGGAAUUCCUGGUGUAGCGGUGAAAUGCGCAGAUAUCAGGAGGAACACCAAUUGCGAAGGCAGCUCGCUGGAACGUAACUGACGCUGGAGACGCGAAAGCGUGGGGAGCAAACAGG
rnacentral:rRNA from 1 species